AGUUUUCUUGCAGUGCCCUAAUGGACUCAGGUGCUGCUGGAAAUUUUAUUGAUGUCCAGUUUAUUAGGGGUAAUGAGAUACCGGUCAGGGAGUGACCUACGCCGCUAGCUGUAGAGGUUAUUGAUGGUAGAUCACUCAAACAACCGCUUAUAACCCACGAAACUGUCCCUAUUACGAUCUCCAUUGGGGCCUCCCAUAGGGAGGAGAUGACGUUUCAGGUUAUUACUUCUCCAUCAUGUCCUAUCAUAUUAGGGUUUCCGUGGCUGAGUAAGCACAAUCCCUAUAUUGACUGGGCUAAUGGGGAGAUAUUAGAAUGGGGUAAAGAGUGUAUGGGGAGAUGUAUAAAACCAGUACUAAAGAGAUUGGAUACUACUGACCUUCCCACUACCACUCCCCAAACUCCUGGAGUUCCCAUACAAUACCGAGAACUUCAGGAGGUGUUUAACAAGGCUCAAUCCGAUGUAUUGCCUCCCCACAGAGCAUAUGACUGUGCCAUUAACCUGUUUCCAGGCGCUAUGCCACCUAUGGGGGCAGUUUAUGCCUUAUCUCCCCAGGAGAGUAAAAUAAUGGAGGAAUACAUCAAAGAAUCCUUGAG